CUCUGGAGGCGGAGAAGCAGAAAGUUGCUCAAGAAGUGAAAAUUCUUCAGCAGAAUCGGGGAAAUAGGAAUAAAGAGCCAAACUGGGAUUCUUUGAAACUCUCUAUGAUGCUCAGAGAGGCCAACACAAUCAGCAGUCAACUUCACAAGCACACGGUUUUUUGCAGACACGAUGUCAUGGCUCAAGAAAAUGGCCUUCAAGUGCAGGUCCGUAACAUCAGGCUGGGUGUUGCAACAUACUGG